UACGUAGGGUGCAAGCGUUGUCCGGAAUUAUUGGGCGUAAAGAGCGUGUAGGCGGUUCGGUAAGUCGGCUGUGAAAGUCCAGGGCUCAACCCUGGGAUGCCGGUCGAUACUGCCGGACUAGAGUUCGGAAGAGGCGAGUGGAAUUCCCGGUGUAGCGGUGAAAUGCGCAGAUAUCGGGGAGGAACACCUAUGGCGAAGGCAGCUCGCUGGGACGUUACUGACGCUGGAGACGCGAAAGCGUGGGGAGCAAACAGG
rnacentral:rRNA from 1 species